GUUUCAACAUUUGGUUUUUUGUAUUUUUCAACAUUCAUCAAAUCACAUUAUUUUUUUAGAUCAUUAACCUUUAGUACAUACUUUCAUGUGUUAGAAAACAUCUGCAUUCAUUUGAUAUUUGAUAACUUUAAUAUAAGAAUUGAGCUUGUUUGAUUUUGUUCUGCAAACAUGUACAGGUUCAACAUUUACUAGUUAAAAAGAGAAAUAUCUUACUUGGCUUCGAACUUGUAACAUUUUCCUUGUGUAGGCCUGAUGUAGAACCACAAAGAACACUUAAAUGGAAUGGGAAACAAUUCUCAAAUUUGUAUUA
rnacentral:misc_RNA from 1 species